CCGCGUGUGUGAAGAAGGCCUUCGGGUUGUAAAGCACAAAUCAGUUGUGAGGAAAAGUUAGUAGUUAAUACCUGCUAGCCGUGACGUUAACAACAGAAGAAGCACCGGCUAACUCCGUGCCAGCAGCCGCGGUAAUACGGAGGGUGCGAGCGUUAAUCGGAAUUACUGGGCGUAAAGCGCACGCAGGCGGUUUGUUAAGCUAGAUGUGAAAGCCCCGGGCUCAACCUGGGACGGUCAUUUAGAACUGGCAGACUAGAGUCUUGGAGAGGGGAGUGGAAUUCCAGGUGUAGCGGUGAAAUGCGUAGAUAUCUGGAGGAACAUCAGUGGCGAAGGCGACUCCCUGGCCAAAGACUGACGCUCAUGUGCGAAAGUGUGGGUAGCGAACAGGAUUAGAUACCCUGGUAGUCCACACCGUAAACGCUGUCUACUAGCUGUUUGUGGCUUUAAGCCGUGAGUAGCGAAGCUAACGCGAUAAGUAGACCGCCUGGGGAGUACGGCCGCAAGGUUAAAACUCAAAUGAAUUGACGGGGGCCCGCACAAGCGGUGGAGCAUGUGGUUUAAUUCGAUGCAACGCGAAGAACCUUACCUACACUUGACAUGUUUGAGAAGUUACCAGAGAUGGUUUCGUGCCUUCGGGAACUCAAACACAGGUGCUGCAUGGCUGUCGUCAGCUCGUGUCGUGAGAUGUUGGGUUAAGUCCCGCAACGAGCGCAACCCUUGUCCUUAGUUGCCAGCAUUUAGUUGGGCACUCUAAGGAGACUGCCGGUGACAAACCGGAGGAAG
rnacentral:rRNA from 1 species